AUGAUCUGAUAUUUAUCUACAGAGUUCUAAUAACUGCACCAAUGCAUGCAUAUGAGAAGCGAGACUUCUAUCAUUACCUAGCUUUGGGAAGAACAUAAUGUGAUUGUUUGGCUGGUUGAAAAUGCUACAAAUGAGAAGGAGAAUACCGAAGCUUCUUUGGACCACAACUGUUCUUUGAGUUCCGUGAGAGGUCUCUUCCGCCAUUCAACCUUCCAAAAUUCUUUGCGUUAAACAUCCAUCUGCAACAGCCAAAUUUGAUGGACUACCACUUAUUUGAACCCACGAUGAGCUUAUCUUCUUCAAUCCAACAUAGCUUUUUCUUUCAGUAAAUACAUAGCCAAAUUUGAUGGAAGCCAACAUAGCCAAAUUUGAUGGAAGCCAUACUACAAUUCUAUCGAUUUAUUUGGAACCUCUUCUAUGCAGAAUACUUCAUUUUUUCUUUAA